GGCGUGGUGGCGAAGUGGCAACGCAGCAGUCUGCAAAACUGUUAUGCGCGGGUUCGAUUCCCGCCCACGCCU
rnacentral:tRNA from 1 species